GGACUAUAGCUCAGUUGGUAGAGUGCUUGCCUUGCAUGCCCAAGGCCCUGGGUUCAAUCCCCAGUACCA
rnacentral:tRNA from 1 species